rnacentral:rRNA from 1 species
UACGUAGGUGGCAAGCGUUGUUCGGAAUUAUUGGGCGUAAAGCGUGCGCAGGCGGUUUUGUAAGCCAGAUGUGAAAGCCCCGGGCUUAACCUGGGAAUGGCAUUUGGGACUGCAAGGCUAGAGUGUGGCAGAGGAGACUGGAAUUCCUGGUGUAGCAGUGAAAUGCGUAGAUAUCAGGAGGAAUACCGAUGGCGAAGGCAGGUCUCUGGGUUAACACUGACGCUCAUGCACGAAAGCGUGGGGAGCAAACAGG